UACUCUUGACAUCCUAAGAAGUUUGCAGAGAUGCGAAUGUGCCUUCGGGAACUUAGAGACAGGUGCUGCAUGGCU
rnacentral:rRNA from 1 species